AGUGAACGCUGGCGGCAGGCCUAAUACAUGCAAGUCGAACGGCAGCACAGCAGAGCUUGCUCUGCGGGUGGCGAGUGGCGGACGGGUGAGGAAUACAUGGGAAUCUGCCCAGUCGUGGGGGAUAACGUAUGGAAACGUACGCUAAUACCGCAUGCGCCCUACGGGGGAAAGCCGGGGACCGCAAGGCCUGGCGCGAUUGGAUGAGCCCAUGUUCGAUUAGCUAGUUGGCGGGGUAAAGGCCCACCAAGGCGACGAUCGAUAGCUGGUCUGAGAGGAUGAUCAGCCACACUGGAACUGAGACACGGUCCAGACUCCUACGGGAGGCAGCAGUAGGGAAUAUUGGACAAUGGGGGCAACCCUGAUCCAGCCAUGCCGCGUGAGUGAAGAAGGCCCUCGGGUUGUAAAGCUCUUUCGGCAGGACGAAACGGUGGUCCCUAAUACGGGCUACUAAUGACGGUACCUGAAGAAGAAGCACCGGCUAACUACGUG
rnacentral:rRNA from 1 species